UACGGAGGGGACUAGCGUUGUUCGGAAUUACUGGGCGUAAAGCGUGCGUAGACGGUUAUUUAAGUCAGGUGUGAAAGCCCCGGGCUCAACCUGGGAAUUGCAUUUGAGACUGAAUAGCUAGGGUGCGGAAGAGGGAAGCGGAAUUUCCGGUGUGGCGGUGAAAUGCGUAGAUAUCGGAAGGAACACCAGUGGCGAAAGCGGCGCACUGGACCACAUCUGACGCUGAGGCGCGAAAGCUAGGGGAGCAAACAGG
rnacentral:rRNA from 1 species